rnacentral:lncRNA from 10 species
UGCGGAACCUGCGGAUACAGAGGACUGACUAUAAUAUCAAGAGAUCAUAAGGCUGUCGGAAUGGACUCUUUGUGGCAAUAAGAUACCAUAUUAUAAACAGGACCCAAGGUCAUGCCAGGAGGCUCGUGUGGUCCCUGUUUGUCAUCCAGUCAAUACGGCCAUCAGCUUCUGGCCCCAGACACCUUUCCUCUGCACUGUGGCACAGAGGAGCAGACUGCUUUGGAGGGCAGCUUCCUGGGAGCUCCAGGGACCCUGGCCAGGCGGCCACUGCCACUGACUUCCUCGGCUCACUGAGCCCGUGCCUGCAGCUCUCGUGUUUCCUCUGUGCUGCAGUGGACGCUUAUCUUCCCCCGAUGGCACAUUUCUUUGUCACAGACAGGACCCUCACUGGCAGUCGGAGGACAUCAAGCCCUAGUACAGGAAGGGACAUUUUCACACUAAUCUGUGCCAGCUGGAGCAGUCCUGCCAUCUGAACAUCAUAUUUUGGAACCCUGAGAAGCUAGGAUGCAGUUAACAGCUAGAUGUCAAUUCCCUGCAGGCAGAGACCAGUUCUCUGCUGCCAUGUCUUUAAGGCCUGAUGCACCAUAGAUUAAUUCAAAUCCAGUGUCUACCACUCACUCGGCUUAAUGUAAGACAAGAUGAAGACUCCAGACUUCAGAACUUCAGUGUCCGUAAGUGUAACAUAAAAGCUUGCAGGUUAUCGAAGAGAAUUAAGUAAAAAUAUUUCUAGAACCUGCCUGGCAGGUACUCAGUAAAUAUUAGUUAUUUCUAUAACAUCCCUUGAAGUAAGCCACUCAUGAAAAUAAUUAUGAAGCUUUCAUAUGCUUCAAAAUUCUGCAAGAGAUGUUUUGAAGCUGCUUUUGUCUGUGUUAAUGAUUUGGUAAUUGUCUUAAGGGCUGCCUAAAGAUAUAUGGAUUACACUAAGAACUGUCAACAGAGCUGCUGAGCUAAGUGACUAAUUUGUGCCAGCUCUGAGACAAAUGAAAUGAUUUUGACCACUUCUGCUUACUACGGGACACUUAAAAUGGAAAUAGAAGAAAGUAUUGGGUAAAUAUUCCUUUGACAGCUGAAUGAGGCUGCGUUGUAUAAACUUUCUCUAGGAAUCACUUUUAAAUUGUAAGAUGGCAGGCUAGAUUGAAAUGUUAAGAACUUUAACAAGCAGGUGGAUUUCAUUGCCUGUUUAUGAUACAGUGGGUCUGUGUUCAUUAUCUUCUGUAUAAUCCAUAACCCACUUGGGGCCCUAGGCCAAAUUAAGGUCUAAGUAUAGGUAUUUUUUUCUGAAAGACCAGGAGUGUCAGUUAACCACAUUAGCCAAUUAUAGACUUAGCAGUUU